AAUCCAUAGGUUAAUGAGGCGAACCGGGGGAACUGAAACAUCUAAGUACCCCGAGGAAAAGAAAUCAACCGAGAUUCCCCCAGUAGCGGCGAGCGAACGGGGAGGAGCCCAGAGCCUGAAUCAGCAUGUGUGUUAGUGGAAGCGUCUGGAAAGGCGCGCGAUACAGGGUGACAGCCCCGUACACAAAAGCGCAUGUGCUGUGAGCUCGAUGAGUAGGGCGGGACACGUGGUAUCCUGUCUGAAUAUGGGGGGACCAUCCUCCAAGGCUAAAUACUCCUGACUGACCGAUAGUGAACCAGUACCGUGAGGGAAAGGCGAAAAGAACCCCGGCGAGGGGAGUGAAAAAGAACCUGAAACCGUGUACGUACAAGCAGUGGGAGCACAGGUUUACCUGUGUGACUGCGUACCUUUUGUAUAAUGGGUCAGCGACUUAUAUUCUGUAGCAAGGUUAACCGAAUAGGGGAGCCGGAGGGAAACCGAGUCUUAAUUGGGCGUUAAGUUGCAGGGUAUAGACCCGAAACCCGGUGAUCUAGCCAUGGGCAGGUUGAAGGUUGGGUAACACUAACUGGAGGACCGAACCGACUAAUGUUGAAAAAUUAGCGGAUGACCUGUGGCUGGGGGUGAAAGGCCAAUCAAACCGGGAGAUAGCUGGUUCUCCCCGAAAGCUAUUUAGGUAGCGCCUCGUGAAUUCAUCUCCGGGGGUAGAGCACUGUUUCGGCUAGGGGGCCAUCCCGGCUUACCAACCCGAUGCAAACUGCGAAUACCGGAGAAUGUUAUCACGGGAGACACACGGCGGGUGCUAACGUCCGUCGUGAAGAGGGAAACAACCCAGACCGCCAGCUAAGGUCCCAAAGUCAUGGUUAAGUGGGAAACGAUGUGGGAAGGCCCAGACAGCCAGGAUGUUGGCUUAGAAGCAGCCAUCAUUUAAAGAAAGCGUAAUAGCUCACUGGUCGAGUCGGCCUGCGCGGAAGAUGUAACGGGGCUAAACCAUGCACCGAAGCUGCGGCAGCGAACGUAUCACUUAAAGCGAUUCAGCGGGUUACGAUU
rnacentral:rRNA from 1 species